UCCCUGAGCUGCGCUCCUCAUUCUCUCUAAACCCUCAUUUCUCCGUGCCGGAUUCAUGAAAUGAAAGCAUAGAUCGCGUAUAUUCAUGAAAUGAAACCGUAGAUCGUGUAUCGUCUAUCACUAUUUCUACCUUGCGAUUUCUGAAAUCGUUUCUCAUUCAUGAAAUGAAACCGUAGAUCGUGUAUCGUCUAUCACUAUUUCUACCUUGCGAUUUCUGAAAUCAUUUCUCCUAACAAUUCCGACCUGGAAUUUGUGUUUACCGGCGUCCGGCAGCGGAUCUGUUUUAUCUAAGAACAAAUCUUUAAAUUACAUUACUGGCGACCGGCAUUGCUAGCCUCAAGAUAAGUCGAUUCUUCCUUAGAUUUUAAUUUUUAUAAAAAAUAUUUUCAUUUUUUGCAAUUAUGUAAUUCGUACAAAUCCCCAAAUUGAGUUUAGGGUUCAUUCAAAUUCUGUCAAAGUGAGUUUACGGUUUGGUGGAAAUUUAAAACUGUAUUAUUUAAUUUUAUAUCUAUAUUAGUGAUUUGUAUACAUGUAUAUGUAUAUACAGUUUUUUUUAGCAUAUACAUUGUACUAUCUUCAAAAACUAUUUUAUACGGAGUACAAAUUUUAUUUAUAUAAAGGUACAUGAAUAAUGUUUGUUACUUCUUUUCCAAACUAAAUGAUCCAUGCAUGCCCCUCAUUUAGAAUGACUUCCAUAUAUUUGAUUACUGAAACUGUCCUUGCCUUUUGAUUGUGUUACAGUUGUACCUGAUGGCUAUAUGCAAUGUUUUUCUUGUAGUACCUGAAAUUUUAAGUAGGACAAAAGAAAAAAAAAAUACAACUAAAGGAAGGUACGAAGAGAACUGGUGAAGAAUGAGAGAAUGCAUAGAGGCCUCUAAAAGAGAAAUAUUGCUUUCUGUCAAAACAAAAUAAGUUUAAGGAAUACCUGUGUAUCAACGUGCUUUUUCAAGUCCUUUGAAUUCUGGGCUUUGGAUUUCUGUAGAAUUGGAUUUAACAAUGAGCCAAAUUAUGCAGCGCCUUGAACACCCACACGAACUCCACUGUUUGCUUGGAUUGUGGGUUAUGCAUCUAGAUGAAACUUUGAAGUUUUUCCCUACAUUUGCUGUGGAUUGAAGAUUGUAUUUAUAGGAUAGUUAUUUUGGAUACCAAAGAGUCUCACUGGAAAUCAGGAUACUUAUUUUGCAAUUAUUGUGGAUACUAAAGAGUCCAUGUGGACAUCAAUACUUAUUUUCAAUUACAUUGCAGAUACCAAAUAGUCAUUCAAUAAAUGUAAUCUAAUGACUUUAAUAAAUGUAUUUGGCUGGAGCUUAUUCA